GGGAAAAUCUACUGGCACUCUGUAGUUAGAAACCAGAUACACAAGUAUCUUGGGCUCAACACGUUAAAGAACUAACUAAUGGGAAGUGCAGAGCUAUGUUUUGUAACUCUUCUUAGCAGUGAUGAAGCUUCACAGAACUACGCAAGUAAUGUAUUUCAAAAUUCCAUAAAGGUAUUUCAAAAUGUAGUAAGAGAGCUCUAGAAAAUAUGGGUGGAAUGGGAAUCAUGGUGCCAAAUACGCAUGAUUUCACUGCAGCUAAUCUUCAGAUUUAUAGCUAAUCUUUAGAUUUAUAAUGAAAAUAGUCUUAAAGAAUCUUAGAACUUUUUUGGUGGCCAUUAAAUUUAAGUUAUAAGAAAUACCAUAAGAAACACUCAAUUGUUAAACCAUGUGGAAGCUUUCCAUAUCUCCAAAAGCAAUGCUGUUGCUGUUGUUAGGUACCGUGCAUGCAAUCUGACUCAUAGUGACCCUAUGUACAACAGAACAAAACACUGCCCAGUCCUGUAUCAUCCUCACAAUCAUUGCUGUGUUUUAGCUCAUUGUUGCAGCCACUGUAUUAAUCCAUCUUAUCAAGGGUCUUCCUCUUUUUCCCUAACCCUCUACUUUACCAAGCAUGAUGGCCUUCUCCAAGGGCUGGUCCCUCCUGAUAACAUGUUCAAAGUACGUGAGAUGAAUUCUCACCAUCCUUGCUUCGAGGGAGCACUCUUGGCUGUACUUCUUCCAAGACAAACUUGUUUAUUCUUCUGGCAGUCCAUGGUAUAUUCAAUAUUCUUUGCCAACACCAUAAUUCAAAGGCAUCAAUUCUUCUUUGGUCUUCCUUAUUCAUUGUCCAGCUCUCAUAUGCAUAUGAGGCUACUGAAAAUAUCAUGGCUUGGGUCUGGCAUACCUUUGUCCUCAAAGUUACAUCUUUGCUUUUCAGAACUUUAAAGAGAGCUAAACAAAUGGAAAAAAAAAAAAAAAACAACCCACAAACCCACCGCCAUCAAGUCAAUUCCAACUCACAGUGACCCUAUGGGACAGAGUAGAAUUAUCCCAUAGGGUUUCUGGGGAGCAGCUGGUGGAUCUGAACUGACGACCUGUUAGUUUCAGCUAAGCUCUUAACCACUGUGCCACCAGGGCUCCAAAAGAGGUCUAGGGCCCUCCAUUUUCUUCUCAGUAAUCCCUAGUAACUUCUUCAUAAAACAUAACAGGAUUUUAAAAAAAGGGCAACACUGAGCAAGACUGUUAGGUUAGAAUAGAUAUAGCCAUAUUAUAAGUUAUAUUAGGGAGACAAGUUAUCUAUAUACAUACUUCAGGCCUUCUGUUAGAUUUUCCAGUGCAAUUUCCAAGGCAUCAUCCUUCUAAACAGUUAGCUCUAUCUUAAAUGUGUUAUCAUCCAGUAUAAUACUUUAUCAUAAGGUAGUAAUUUUGUUAGUUAUUAACUCAUCAAUAGCUGGAUCAUGCGAUAUCAUGGCUCAUGUCAGAUAGAUUUUGGUUGAAAGCAGGGAAUACCAGAAAGAUGUUUACUUGGUCUUAUUGACUAUGCAAGGCAUUCAGCUGUGUGGAUCAUAACAAAUUAUGGAUAACACUGCGAAGAAUGGGAAUUCCAGGACACUUAAUUGUGCUCAUGUGGAACCUGUACAUAGACCAAGAGGCAGUCAUUUGAAUGUAUCAAGGGAAUACUGCGUGGUUUAAAGGCAGGAAAGGUGUAUAUCAGGGUUGUAUCCUUUCGCCGUACUUAUUCAAUCUGUAUGCUAAGCAAAUAAUCUGAGACGCUGGACUAUGUGAAGAAGAAUGUUGCAUCAGGACCAGAGGAAGACUCAUCAACAAACUGCAACAUGCAGAUGAAGCAGCCUUACUUGCUGAAAGUGAAGAGGACUCGAAGCACUUACUGAAGAUGAUCAGAGACUACAGCCUUCAGUAUGGAUUAUACCUUAACAUAAACAAAAAAACCUCACAGCUGGACCUAUAAGCAACAUCAUAAUAAACGGAGAAAAUAUUGAAGUUGUUGAGGAUUUCAUUUUACUUGGAUCUACAAUCAACACCCACGGUAGCAGCAGUCAGGAAAUCAAAUGACAUUGCAUUGGGCAAAUCUGCUACAAAUGAUCUCUUUGAAGUGUUGAAAAGCAAAGAUGUCUCUUAGAGGAUUAAGGUGCACCUCAAUCAAGACACAGACUGCCAGAAGAAUGAACACAUCUGUCUGGGAAGACGUACAGCCAGAAUGCUCCUUAGAAGCCAGGACAGUGAGACUUCAUCUCACGUACUUUGGACUCCAGUCCCUGGAGAAGGACAUCAUGCUUGGUAAAGUAGAGAGUCAGCCAUAAAGAGGAAGAUCCUCAAGGAGAUGGAUUGACACAGUGGCUGUAGCAAUGGCUCAAGCAUAACAAUGACUGUGAAGAUGGUGCAGGACCAGGCAGUAUUUUGUUCUGUUGUACACAGGGUCGCUAUGAGUCGGAACCAGUUUGAAGGCACCCAACAACAACAUUAACUCACCUGCAACAAUCCCUUGCUCUCAAUGAAUGUUACUACUGUAAACUUUAAAAGCUGAUCUCUAUGAAGAAAAAUUAACAGUAAUGAGAUAUGACACAUAAAUAGAAUGUGGCGUUGUCCUAUGUUCACCAAUCUAAGCUAUCAUCCCCAUUCAGGUCAGCUGAGGACUGGGGCUGUCCUCUGCAGAGGCAGAGCAGGCUUUGUACAGGAAGUGUUGGUGUACGUCCUCAGGCAUGGGUGACAAAGUUGGGUGAGGUUGUCAGCACUUUUGGUUCCCUCUCUCUAGCUCAGAGGCGUACAGCAGGAAAUUUCAGCUGACCACAUGCCAGUGACCUUUUGGUUAGAACUGGAACUGUCCCAUUUUACUCCAGUGUACCAGAGUCAGAAGGAUCCUAGUGAGUAUGUAGGCCCUGGUUGUGGACAUCUUUUUCAAUGUUUUAGCCUGGUAAGUAAAGUAAGAAAAAAAACUUAUGUGGAAUAUCAUCUGAUGAUUUCACAUUGUAUAUUAUAGGUUUCUAUAUAUCUUUACAAAUGACUAAACCUUUUCAUUGUUCAUUCUGAUAUAUUCAGAUAUUUUAUGGAUAUCGCUGUAGAGACAAAGUACAGGGAUUAUCUGCACUGAAAUAAAAGCUCUCAUAAAUGUGUACUAUUUUUCUGAGUUCACAGUUUAUAUCUUGGUCUAUUAGAUUCAAUAAAAAUGGAUUUAUCCCUCUUGGGUGUACAUCAAGUAAUGUUUAUCAGUUUAGUCAUAUGCACGUACACACACACAUCUAGUUAAAGUUCGGGACGGCUUUGGAAACUACAAUUUCAAACAGUUUGUCAUAAAAGUAAGAUUAGUACCACAGAAAAAAAUACAACUAUGUAGUUAAAAGCAAAGCAUCAUAAACAGAGUUUUUAAAAAAGCUAUUUAUUUUGCUUAUAACACCACCAUCAUUCUAUUCUAAAGAUCCCUAGUGGUGCAGUGGUUAAGCAUUCAGCCGCUAACCAGAAGGUCAGCACUUCAAACCCACCAGCCACUCUGCAGGAGAAAGACAUGGCAGUCUUCUUCCAUAAGAUUUCUGUAGCCUUGGAAACCCAAUGGGGCAGUUCUACUCAGUACUAUAGGGUUUCUGUGAGUCGGGAUUGACUCAACAGCAAAGGGUUUUAAUGGGUUAUCAUUCUAUUUUGUCUUAAUAAAGUUAAUAUCAUUAUUAAUAAUUACAAUUAUGUACUUACUAUGCACCCUCUGCAUAACAACGCUAACAAGAAGGUGUUAUUAGUCCCAUUUCAUAAAUGGUGAAACUGAGACAUGGAGCUAAGAAACUCUCCCACAUAAUAAACAACAGAGCUGAAAUUCAAACCCUGGACUAAUUAACUUUACUCACAUGAAAAAGUAUCUGCUUAUCCUCCCCGAAGUUUUGUCAAAUUACUAACCUAGGGUACAAUAACGAGACUUUCAUCUUAUGACUGAGUUUUCUUGUGUUCCCUCUACCCCCAAAAUUAAAAUCUAAAACAUUUUGUACUUGGUAAAGUAAACUUCCUCUUUUUACUCACGUGGUUCCUUUCAUAACUGAAUUUCUAAAAACUCUGUAUUUAAUUUACUUGUUAGCAAAUAGUUUUACACAUAAACCAUUUGUACUCCAGAAUAAUGGAUUUUUUUUAUAGUCCACCCCCAGCAACAGUCUUUUUAUCUUACUUGGCUUAUUGGCUGUAAGACAGAAUGAGAAGAGUAAAUUUGUCACUUCCUCAAGGUCAUUUUGAGCCAGAAAUAGGAUUCUAGUCUGAAUGGUCUAAAGUCUGGUCACAAAACCACGCUUCCUCUUCAAAACGGUAAGCCACUGAGAAACAGAAGAUAACAAAAAGUGUGGGAUAUUUAAAAACCUUUCAUGCUGAUUUCCCUUUUCCCUAUCUGUCCAUCUCUAUAUUCUGUAUUAGAUUAUGGAAAAAACUACAGCUGUCUUGGCAUAGAAGGAAAUAAACCUUAUUCUUAUUUCAAACAUGAAGUAAAAUAUGGGAUGCAGCCUCAAAAGUCAUUUAAUACUUUUUAAAAUAUGCAGUUAAUCUGAUUCCUCUGUAUUCCAUCUGGUGAAGAUAUUAUACAGUUGCCGUUGUGUACAGUCACCAUUGAUGUUGGUGAAAAAGAGAUAAAAGGAGAGAGAAGCUAUCAGAAAGGAGUGGGACUUCAUCACCACCAAGAAAGAAGAGCCAGGAGUGGACCAUGCCCUUUGGACCCAGGGUGCCUACGUUAAGAACCUCCUAUAUCCAGGGGAAGGUUGAUACCAAGACACAUGAAGACACGUGGGCCCAGAGAUGCUGAAAGGAAACAAGGACCUUCCCCCAGAGCCAAGAGAGAGAAAGCCUUCCCCUAGAACCAGUGCUCUGCAUUCAGACUUUUAGCCCCCUAAACUGUGAGAAAACAAAUUUCUUUUUGUUAAAGCCAUCCUCUUGUGGUAUUUCUGUUAAAGCAGUACUGGAUAACUAAGAUACCUGUUAACAAUCAGCACUCAAAACUGAAUCAUAUAAUCCUAUCAGCAUCUUCCCCCACCCUGUCUUCCCCAGACUCAUGAGGAAAAGAAUAAUCUAUUCAGUGGGGAUCCUUCCCUGCCCCCCUCAUUUUGAGUACAAGCACACUCACAAAAGUGUGUAAACUAGCCACUUCAUGCCUUUAUUUCCCUGUUUUAGAUAGCCAAUGUUUUAUUUGGUCCCUGUCAAACCAGUACUCUAAGAAGACAAGCAUGUUCCUUGGUUUGCACAUAUUCUGUUCCGGUUAAAACGGUGAGCAUCUGUACCCAUAAGCAAAAUCAAGUCCAGUGCACACAAUCAAAAUGCAGUAAUCCACACCAGGUCAUGGUGUCAAACAUCUCUUUUUCUCUUCCCCUUUUACCCAAGGCCAGGUCUUCUCAUCCCCAGCCUUCUAAGCUAGGUCAAAGGACGUCAGACAUAGGCUCAAGAGUCCACACAGACCUCCCUUCACUUCAGACCAGCUGGUCCCUUCUCUCUCUCAUCCCUGGCCACGUGGGCUAGGCCAACAGAUUUCAACAGAACAUGUCCAAACUCAGGCCAUCUCUUCAUUGCUGCACCACCCCCCCAUUCACCUUGUGGCCCCAGGUAGUCACCUCUACUUGCCAGCUCCCUUUAAAUUUCAGUC